rnacentral:rRNA from 1 species
GACGAACGCUGGCGGCGUGCUUAACACAUGCAAGUCGAACGGAAAGGCCCUGCUUUUGUGGGGUGCUCGAGUGGCGAACGGGUGAGUAACACGUGAGUAACCUGCCCUUGACUUUGGGAUAACUUCAGGAAACUGGGGCUAAUACCGGAUAGGAGCUCCUGCUGCAUGGUGGGGGUUGGAAAGUUUCGGCGGUUGGGGAUGGACUCGCGGCUUAUCAGCUUGUUGGUGGGGUAGUGGCUUACCAAGGCUUUGACGGGUCGCCGGCAUGAGAGGGUGACCGGCCACAUUGGGACUGAGAUACGGCCCAGACUCCUACGGGAGGCAACAGUGGGGAAUAUUGUACAAUGGGCGGAAGCCUGAUGCAGCAACGCCGCGUGCGGGAUGACGGCCUUCGGGUUGUAAACCGCUUUCGCCUGUGACGAAGCGUGAGUGACGGUAAUGGGUAAAGAAGCACCGGCUAACUACGUG